AGGCAGAGAUUUUUAAAAAAAUGUGCUGAUGGCGUGUUUCUAGUGACUUCAUUGUUUUGGUUUUUUUAAUUUAAAUUCUUUGAGCAUGAAUAAGAUUUAAUAUGGAUUCACUCUUCUAAAGUGCUAAUUCAAUAUUUGAAAAUAUCUAGUCUCUCUUUGUAUAUAGAAAUAUCGAAGAAGGAGGACUUUCUCCUGUGACAAAAAAAUGAUUUGAAGAAUAGGGAUAUAGUUUGAAAUCAACAGAUCAAAUCUUGGAAAACUGGUGCAGUCACAUAAAAUCUGCACUGAAAGAGGAAGAGAUUUACAGUCAGCAUAUGUGCAAUCAACAUCAGGUGAAAUGUGCAGGUUUCUCCAGUUCUUUAAGGAUAGAUUGCUUUCCGCAAGCUCUGCCUCAAGUGUAAAACUUCAGAUUUCCUUAAGCCUGCACUACAAUGAUGAUGGUCGUUCCUUAAAGCUUUUGUGAGAAUGUUUCUGCUUUACCUGCGUUGACGGAUGACACUUGCAUCAUAUUGUUAAGGCUACUUCAGUUGAUGGAUCCUGCUGUUGCCAUUUGGAGAUCAUGCUACUUAGGGUGCGCUAGUGUUAUGCUGGUGAAUUGAUCCAAGUCGAACUGAAGAAUGCCAUCCCUUAAAUCAAGGAGUUAAACCCUGUUUCCUCUAGUGGACCAGAAUUGUACAUCCAACCUGAAGAACUGCUUCAAAAGAAUGUAGAUAAUUUCAGCCUUUCUCCAGUUCUUAAAGACAAACUGUUCUUAGCUUUUGGGUCAUCCAUCUGGCAUAUUUACCGUUCUCUGAGAUAAGAUAUAUUAAGCUAGCAUUUACCGAAGCCUAGUGAGAGAAGAGAAAGGAAAGGUGGAUGGGUUAUCAAAAUCGUAUCACUCUCUUUAAGGGCAUGAGUGACUGAAAAGCAACACAGCUUAAAUACCUGGAUUUUGCUUUUAUGUGUGUUGCAACCUGACCUGAAGAGCCUAUCUACUGCUAAGAGUAUAAGAGGAUGAGUUCAGUGCCUGCUGUUCCUACAGGAAUUGGAGGUGAGCAGUAGAAUUUCCAGGUUUGGAGCUGGUCUUGGGCAUGGGGUGUUCAGCUAAGGGUUGUGAUAGCGUUGAGAUAGACUCUUUUGUUUUACCCUUAUAGCACCGUGCUCAGAAAGUCAAAGUGUGAGGACUGCGGCUACAGUGGAGUUUAGACCAGAUUCAUGUGCCAGUUACAAGAAUUUUUGCAGUCCUUGUGGUAUUUUAUG
rnacentral:lncRNA from 1 species